GGGAUUGUGGCUCAGUGGUAGAGCGCUCGACUUACACAUGAGAGACCCUGGGUUCAAUCCUCAGCACCA
rnacentral:tRNA from 1 species